rnacentral:rRNA from 1 species
CUACGGGGGGCUCCAGUGGGGAAUAUUGCACAAUGGGCGCAAGCCUGAUGCAGCCAUGCCGCGUGUAUGAAGAAUGCCUUCGGGUUGUAAAGUACUUUCAGCGGGGAGGAAGGGAGUAAAGUUAAUACCUUUGCUCAUUGACGUUACCCGCAGAAGAAGCACCGGCUAACUCCGUGCCAGCAGCCGCGGUAAUACGGAGGGUGCAAGCGUUAAUCGGAAUUACUGGGCGUAAAGCGCACGCAGGCGGUUUGUUAAGUCAGAUGUGAAAUCCCCGGGCUCAACCUGGGAACUGCAUCUGAUACUGGCAAGCUUGAGUCUCGUAGAGGGGGGUAGAAUUCCAGGUGUAGCGGUGAAAUGCGUAGAGAUCUGGAGGAAUACCGGUGGCGAAGGCGGCCCCCUGGACGAAGACUGACGCUCAGGUGCGAAGGCGUGGGGAGCAAACAGGAUUAGAUACCCCUGUAGUC